GACAGAGGUGCCAAGCGUUAGGCGGAAUCACUGGGCUUAAAGCGUGUGUAGGCGGAUGUCUAAGUACCCUGUGAAAUCCCACAGCUUAACUGUGGAACUGCUUGGUAUACUGCCAGUCUUGAGCCAGCUAGGGGCUACCGGAGCAAAUGGUGGAAGCGGUGAAAUGCGUAGAUAUCAUUGGAACGCCAAUGGUGAAAACAGGUAGCUGGGGCUGUGCUGACGCUGAGACACGAAAGCCAGGGGAGCAAACGGG
rnacentral:rRNA from 1 species